UACAGAGGGGGGCAAGCGUUAUUCGGAAUUAUUGGGCGUAAAGGGCGCGUAGGCGGCUAUCCAAGUGGCGGGUGAAAUCCCUCGGCUUAACCGAGGAACUGCCUGCCAGACUGGAUGGCUCGAGACCGGGAGAGGUGAGUGGAAUUCCCAGUGUAGCGGUGAAAAUGCGUAGAUAUUGGGAGGAACACCAGUGGCGAAGGCGGCUCACUGGACCGGUACUGACGCUGAGGCGCGAAAGCGUGGGGGAGCAAACAGG
rnacentral:rRNA from 1 species